GCUUCAGUGGUGUAGCGGUAACAUUGGGUCUUCCCAUGGCCUAGCUCCGGGUUCGACUCCCGGCUGAUGCA
rnacentral:tRNA from 1 species